AUUGAACGCUGGCGGCAGGCCUAACACAUGCAAGUCGAGCGGAAACGGCAGUAUUGAAGCUUCGGUGGAUUUACUGGACGUCGAGCGGCGGACGGGUGAGUAACGGCUGGGAACCUGCCCUGACGAGGGGGAUAACCGUUGGAAACGACGGCUAAUACCGCAUAAUGUCUACGGACCAAAGGUGGCCUCUACAUGUAAGCUAUCGCGUUGGGAUGGGCCCAGUUAGGAUUAGCUAGUUGGUAAGGUAACGGCUUACCAAGGCGACGAUCCUUAGCUGGUUUGAGAGGAUGAUCAGCCACACUGGGACUGAGACACGGCCCAGACUCCUACGGGAGGCAGCAGUGGGGAAUAUUGCACAAUGGGGGAGACCCUGAUGCAGCCAUGCCGCGUGUGUGAAGAAGGCCUUCGGGUUGUAAAGCACUUUCAGCAGUGAGGAAGGUAGUGUACUUAAUACGUGCAUUGCUUGACGUUAGCUGCAGAAGAAGCACCGGCUAACUCCGUGCCAGCAGCCGCGGUAAUACGGAGGGUGCGAGCGUUAAUCGGAAUUACUGGGCGUAAAGCGCAUGCAGGCGGUUUGUUAAGUCAGAUGUGAAAGCCCGGGGCUCAACCUCGGAACCGCUUUUGAAACUGGCAGGCUAGAGUCUUGUAGAGGGGGGUAGAAUUUCAGGUGUAGCGGUGAAAUGCGUAGAGAUCUGAAGGAAUACCAGUGGCGAAGGCGGCCCCCUGGACAAAGACUGACGCUCAGAUGCGAAAGCGUGGGUAGCAAACAGG
rnacentral:rRNA from 1 species